UGGGGAAUUUUGGACAAUGGACGCAAGUCUGAUCCAGCCAUGCCGCGUGCGGGAAGAAGGCCUUCGGGUUGUAAACCGCUUUUGUCAGGGAAGAAACGCUCUGGGCUAAUACCCUGGGCUAAUGACGGUACCUGAAGAAUAAGCACUGGCUAACUACGUGCCAGCAGCCGCGGUAAUACGUAGGGUGCAAGCGUUAAUCGGAAUUACUGGGCGUAAAGCGUGCGCAGGCGGUUAUACAAGACAGAUGUGAAAUCCCCGGGCUCAACCUGGGAAUUGCAUUUGUGACUGUAUGGCUAGAGUGUGUCAGAGGGGGGUAGAAUUCCACGUGUAGCAGUGAAAUGCGUAGAUAUGCGGAGGAACACCGAUGGCGAAGGCAAUCCCCUGGACCUGUACUGACGCUCAUGCACGAAAGCGUGGGGAGCAAACA
rnacentral:rRNA from 1 species